rnacentral:rRNA from 1 species
GGGAAUAUUGCACAAUGGGCGAAAGCCUGAUGCAGCAACGCCGCGUGAGCGAUGAAGGCCUUCGGGUCGUAAAACCCUGUUGUUAGAGAAGAACAAGGAUGAGAGUAGAACGUUCAUCCCUUGACGGUAUCUAACCAGAAAGCCACGGCUAACUACGUGCCAGCAGCCGCGGUAAUACGUAGGUGGCAAGCGUUGUCCGGAUUUAUUGGGCGUAAAGCGAGCGCAGGCGGUUUCUUAAGUCUGAUGUGAAAGCCUUCGGCUUAACCGGAGUAGUGCAUUGGAAACUGGGAGACUUGAGUGCAGAAGAGGAGAGUGGAACUCCAUGUGUAGCGGUGAAAUGCGUAGAUAUAUGGAAGAACACCAGUGGCGAAAGCGGCUCUCUGGUCUGUAACUGACGCUGAGGUUCGAAAGCGUGGGUAGCA